UGAUGAUGAUGAUGAUGAUGAUGAUGAGGAUGAUGGAGAACAUGUAAAGAGAAACAAAAUAACCGUGGCUAUAAAAAUAACAAUCCAUCCUCCUCGUCAUCAUCAUCAUCAUCA
rnacentral:miRNA from 1 species